rnacentral:lncRNA from 1 species
GAAAAUGAGUGGAAUGAGGAAGCCCCCAAUGACAACGCUGAGUUUUGCCCAAUAAUUGUUUCCACUUCCAUAGCCUGGCCAUAAAACGCACAUACGACUUCCAUUGACAGGAUUUAUAUUUUGCCAUGCUAAUGCUCCGGCAGUUGUAAAUUCUAAGCACUUUUGGCAUGGUAAAAACCAUCCUCAAAUUAACCCUGACCAUUUGAAGAUUGUUUUGGAGGAAAACAGCUAUGAGAGGAAGUAAAUCAACACAAACCCCACAUUUUUCACCACAGUAUCGUAGGAAAGACAUAUACAAGAUUUAUUCUGAUAUCAAUCAUUAAUUCUACUCUCAGUCUCUAGAGGCUUCCAUUAAGAAGAAGAGAACCAAACUCGAGUCUGACUACAUAGUCAAGGCCUGCAAGGGAUUUUGGCCUCGUAUUGAAGCAAUGAUUAGAGCUGAGGACUCACAUAUUGAAUAAAAGUUCACUAUUUUCAGAUGAUUUUAUUUAAUAAAUGUCCUCACAAAACCUUUUGUUUAAAUUUUACUUUUGAGAAAUUGCAAAUAAUAAAUGUGUAUCAAAAGA